rnacentral:tRNA from 1 species
CGCCGUACGGCAGGCAACAGACUUGGAAAGCGUGUUGGGGAAACCCCUCACGAGUUCGAAUCUCGUAUCCUCCGCCA